GGGAAUAUAGUUAAAAAUAACAUCUAAUUUGCAAUUAGAAAGUACUGUAUAGUUUUUCUCG
rnacentral:tRNA from 1 species